ensembl:lncRNA
CAUUAAGGGACCUUAACAAGAUAAUACCAUCAUCACAGCAGGUGAGACCACAUGAGCUGCACUUCACAGAUGAAACUUUUAUAAACAAUCACUGCUUUGCUGAAAGGCUGAACUUGAUUGUCCAGGAAGUUCUAGUGUUGGACCUCAGGCCUCGGGUAAGCAAGUUUAAUCCCCUCCUAGACCACACUCUCACCCCCAGAUAGUCUGGCGGCGGUGGCGUAGCCGCACAACAUGAGUUCAUUGGGAUUCCACGAGGGUGAUGUCAGGCUACUUCCUCCCCCAGAGGAUAUGAACACUGUUUCUUUUC